GUAAGAGGGAGGAGAAUCAGGCCCGUGUCUCUAUUUAUGCAUCAGUCCUGUGAGUUUCAUUUGGUAAUUUAAGUCCCUGCCUGUUAAUCAGGUGAAACGUAUUUCCCCUGAACACUGGAUCUCUUCAGCAGCCUCUAAGAGAUGUCUCGUGGUCAGGGCUGGGAUAAGAAAAUUAUUCAGUACCAAUAAUUCGAUUGACUCUGGGCAAAUGUAAUUAGCUGGGCUUUGACAUUGGAGUGUCUCUUGCCGUGCUGCUCGAUGUUUUAGGAAAUCGCCUCAUGAUGGAGUAUUAAUGAGAACAUUCACAGAACCCAGUGAAACAGACUCCUCCCUGGAAUGUGCUUUUCCAGCUGCUGUAUAUAACAAGGGACACCAGCCACUUUGCUGGUCUGCAGGGAGGUGUCCGUGGAAUGGCUGCCACCAUGAGUCAUCGGGGUUUGCUUCUGCUGGUGCUACUGACUCUGGCUCUGAACAUCUGUCUGGGGGUCAGCCCUGGAAACUGGGGCUGUGCGAAUUACCGGGGUUACUGCCGUGCUGCCUGCUUUCCCCAGGAGAAUUCACUGGGCCCCAAGGACUGUGCUGAAGGGUUUGUCUGCUGUGUGUCGAGUGCUUUUGGAUAAGAACGGCUUUACCCCAGGAGUCAACGGUACCUGCGAUGAAGCUCCCCAGCAACAGAAGAACACCAGAUGUCAGUGUCUAGAAUGAUCAACCUUUGCUGUUUCAUUGAAAUCAAUAAUGUGUCAAUAAUUGUAGUUUCAUCCUUCCCACUGAAAUCAAUGGGAAAAUCCCUACUGAAUUCAAUGGAAGAAGGAUGGGGUUGUUUCCUCUGCCUUUUGUAAUUGCAUUUAUCCAGUGUAGCAGCCUAACAACCAGAUCUGGCUUAAUGAAUCCUGUCAGAUUCCUUACUCUCACCCUGACUCUAGAGGGUGCACACCUGUUCUCUCCUUUCACCCGCACACCCCCAAUCUAUCCCUCCACCCUUUUCUCUGCCAUAUAGACACACAGGCUGCGUCUAGACUGGCAUGAUUUUGCGGAAAUACUUUUGCGCAAAAGCAUCUGUGGCCAGUCUAGACGCGAUUUUGCACAAGAAAGCCCCGAUCAGGGUGACAGGCCCUGUUUCUUUUGGUGGUUAAUCCACUGCAAUGUUUGGUAUUUCAAUGGAUCAUUGAAGACCCUGCAACAGAGAAUGAUUUCUGGAAAAAAAUGUUUAUGAUUGUACUUUAGAUUUCUAACAGAUUUUUGUCAGGGUGGGCUGAGAACUCAUCUGUUGUGGUGAUGGGUGCCCUGGAAAAUAACUAUAUUAGACAGAAAAAAGUCUCUGCAAGGGAUAAACUAAAAAAAUUCACAAAUAUGUGAUUUCAGGACAUAAUGCAAGAAAAUGUCACCUUGUCUGACAGUGCACAGCAUAGAAAUGGUUGUAAUGUGAGUGCAAUGUCACAGACUCACAGUGACUGGCUGACUAUAUGGCAUGAUAAUGGGAUCCAGUCUUUUACCAGUUCAAAGCCAAUUCCCGGUCAGUAUAACUAUCUUUACAGCUUAUUUUGGGAAAGUAUCCCAGAUCUCAAAUGGUGCCCAAACUUCCCCCCUUCUCUGCAAUAUCAGACAAGGUGGGCAAGUUAAUAGAUUUUAUUGGAUCAAAUUCAGAAAACUUGUCUUCCUCAUCAACAAGUGACACUUGUUACCUCGCUCAUCUUGUCCCCCUAAUAUCCUGGCACUGAGACAGCUACAACUACAUUGCAGACAAGGUUUGGAUAGACAUGGAGCCUGAACUUGCUCCUGGAAGUGGCCUUUCUGAAUCCCCUUCUUAGAAGUGUCUGCUCCAGCUCAGGGGUAAGGAAUAUUUGAAGAGCAAACCCACACUGCUGCUGCCCAUAUAGCAGCAGAUACCACAGUGUGCUAGGCACUAUAUAAAAACCUGAAUAGAAUAGAUGAAUUCCAUGGAUUAACAGAAUUCUUCAGGCUCCAGGAACUCAUUUCCCUACCACUGCAUACAAGUAACUCCCAGCGAAGUCAAAACUUGCUCCAGUGGAGUAAGAAGUGGGCUCCAACAUGGUAAAUUUAUAGGUCCUUCAUCAGCACUGCAUUUUCUUAGAGAAGAUACGUCUGUUAGCUUGUCUUGUCCAUCUCUCUGGCUGAUACAGAAUUGUUCUCCACAGUAAAGAAUACACUUGUGCACAGACUAAAUGACUGACACUGUUUUAUUGGACUAACUGGAAGGCAAAAAGAAAUCAAAUGUGUGAUUCUUGACAACUGCUGAUUAAUUAUUUCUAGUUGGACCAGAACUGGUUAUUAUUGGCUACUAAAAUGGGGUGGGGAGAGGGAGCUAUUUUUUUUGACAAUGUAAUCAGUUGUACUCCUUACAGAGCAGUAAAAACCUUGCUUGAGAAUGUCUCUAGACUAGAGUGUUUCUAGUGCGUACAGGUUAAACAUAUCUGAAAUAACCCCUCCGUUCUCUGCUUUGAUUAAUUGAAUUGCAUUGUAUUGUUUAGGAUGAUUAAAGGUGGUUUAACUGGAAGCUGGUACCAUAUAACACUGACGUUUUUAUGUAAGAGCAGUUCACUGAGCUCAGAGUUUGCUGGAGACGUAACGCCUUUAAUUAAAAUGCAAUUUAGAGUUAA